CAGGGUGCUGAGGGAGCGGCCAGCUACAUGAUGCCAUGGCUGGGCCUGGUGUCUGAAGAAGACUCCCUGCUUCCUGCUCCUGGAACCACCAGCGCACAGGAAUGCCUCCCACACAGAGGACCCAUUGUACAUCUUAUCUGGCCUAUCAGGAACACCAGCAGUCAAGCGCUGGACUGUAAUUGUGACUGACUAUCUUGACGACAGACAGACAGACAAACUGACAGACAGACAGUCUGGUAAAUCAGCCAGCCAACUCAGCCAGCAAGGAAGUCAACCUGCCCCAGGCUAGAAACCAUAGGGUCUCUGGUGCAAGACAAUAUAACCCCAGAAAACAAAAACCACAGGUUGGAAUUCAGCAGCAAAUACUUCCCUUGGUAUUGGUUGCUUGUCAUGAUGCUAAUGAUGGAAUUUAUUCUACAGUUGCAUUCACUGUAAACUGUUGUCUGUACCAGACGGUUCAAUGGUUAAAAUGUAAAUGGAGCUAACCCGUGUUCAGAGCAAAUUAGGAAAAGGGCUAGAUGGAUGAGACAGCUGCAGUUCCUGGGGAAAAAACAUUGAACCUGUUUGGGUGACGUCUGGGCUGCAUGUUGGGACUUAACAGACGAGAAACUGAAAGCUGUGUGUCUGAGCAGAGAUGAGGCUGACAGCUGUGGGCUCUGAUGGGAUCUGCUUCCUCAACGUGAGUGAGAACAACAUGCUUUGCGGUCAAACAGGAAACCAGCUCUGUACAGAACAACACCACAGAGACCCCGCCUACGGCCACCUCUGAUUGGCUGUGCUGUUGUUAGGCGCCUUUCGUGAGCAAAACAAAAGCAUGACUAGCCAAUCAUCCGCCUCAAUUUACCAACACCUUGUUUGCGCUGACAUCACAGGUAGCUUUAAAUGCCUAACCACAAGAAUUUAAAUGGCUGAACAUGGUAAAGAGCACACACACACAC